rnacentral:rRNA from 1 species
AAUACGUUCCCGGACCUUGCACACACCGCCCGUCAAGCCAUGGAAGCUGGGUGUACCUAAAGUCGGUAACCGCAAGGAGUCGCCUAGGGUAAAACUGGUGACUGGGGCU